GCCCGGGUGGCGGAACCGGUAGACGCGGCACUUUGCCAAGGUGCUGGCCGCGAGGCCGUGCGGGUUCAAGUCCCGCCCCGGGCA
rnacentral:tRNA from 1 species